CGCGGCGGUUGUCAUGGGCCCGAUGGGAGUUCCCGGUCGUGACAUAUAUAGAGUUAUUUUGACAUAUUUUCAAGGCCUAAGCAGCUAGAUCUCUGAGAUUUUAGGAAAUUUGAUGAAAAAGGCUCAUUUGAUGAAAAUUCAUGCAAGUAUGGCGAUGGCUUUAUUUGUAUAUGUUUUCGUAUUUUGACUAUAUGUCUCUAUACAAAAUUCAAAUGAUGUGAUUCUUGGACCGAUAGAAUUAUCAGAGGAGGGGCUACAACUUUUAUGUUUACUACGUCACCUAGUUUAGAUAGGAUCAUGGUCAAAAUGUUUGUCUAAUUCGAAGCACUGCAGUAGUAUGCAUGGACUGAACAUGAUAAGUUUCGAUCAUAUCGAGGUGAAAAUAAUAUUGGAUGAUGCUCAACUGCUGCAGUUCUGCACAAGGCAAUAGGUGGAGGAAGGGUGUGGCCUUGAGUUACUCAAGGUUGCAGCACAUAGGAAGCCAAGGUCGUAACGUUGAAGAAAAAAAGGUUGCAGAGUUGGUGAAAGGAAGUGCAUCGUACAUUUUUUUUUAAGCUAGAGUGCCACAGCGCUAAGAAAUCAUGGCCACAACGUUAUUGUAGCAAAAAUUCAACGUCGCGAGCCAAAAGAAUCAUGGUCGUGGCACCGAAUGAUUUUCCAAAAAUAAAAAUUUGAUGAAAUUUUGGAAAUUAGGUUACUUAGAGCCUAUUUAAGGAACUUUUUUUAGAGUUUUUAAGGCGAAGGUAGCAAGCAACUACUCUAGAGAAAAAGAGCCAAGAACAAAGCAAGAAAAUAAGAGAAUUUGAGAGAGAAUUAAGAUGAUAAAACUUCAAUAAUUAGUUUCU